ACGACCAUACCCACUGGAAUAUACGGGAUCCCGUCCGCUCUCCCCUAGUCAAACCAGUGAGGGCCGAACUAGUACUCAGGUGGGUGACCACUGGGGAAUCCUCGGUGUUGUAUGUU